UACGAAGGUGGCUAGCGUUGCUCGGAAUCACUGGGCGUAAAGGGUGCGUAGGCGGGUUAUUAAGUCAGAGGUGAAAUCCUGGAGCUCAACUCCAGAACUGCCUUUGAUACUGAUAGUCUUGAGUAUGGGAGAGGUGAGUGGAACUGCGAGUGUAGAGGUGAAAUUCGUAGAUAUUCGCAAGAACACCAGUGGCGAAGGCGGCUCACUGGCCCAUUACUGACGCUGAGGCACGAAAGCGUGGGGAGCAAACAGG
rnacentral:rRNA from 1 species